AGAAAAUCAAGAAUUCUCUACAAAUCACUCAUAUCCAAUAUGAGGUUCGUGGAACUACAUACAUGAUAUGACAAAGAACAUAUCACUCUAGGUGCAUAUGAUUGGCUGUAAGUAGCCACAAUCAUAAGCAUGAUAAGUGGUCUUCAGUCGGCUGUACUCCAAAUAUUCACAAAAGAAUAUGAAUUCGACACUGCACAGGUUAAGGUCAGAUGGUGGUGGUGGCCUUCAGUUGGCUGUACUCCAAUUCUUCACAAAAUAAUAUGAAUUCGACACCAUAUGAUUGGUUGUAUUGGUGGACAUCGUCAUUGGCGACACCUUCCGCGACUUAGAUGUCACCGCAAGGAGCAUUGGUCUGGCCUCUGCCACCAACCCACAUGGCGAAACCAUGGCUGCCCCUAGACUGGAACAACUUGUUGGCUCGCGGCUAGAAAAAGAUCAAAGGACAUAUUAUGCAGUGUUUACAUUCGAUUCCACAAAAACAAAUAAAUAUAAAAAUAUCAGUGUAAGGAAUAUGUGCUAAUGAAUUUUAUCCAGACUGGGCGCACAAUUAGGAAAUAGCAAAAACAAGAAGUCGAAGACACAAGCAAAUAAUUGAUUUAAAGUUUUGACAGGAAAAUCAGCAUAAAUGAAGAUAAAAUUUUGAAAAUCCAAGAAGCACGGACUCCAUAUCUAAUACAUGAAAGAAAAGUAAAUCCACCAUCAGUUCCCUGAACCACUAAGGCAAGCGAUUGGUGUAGCAAGACAUAAUGGAGCUGCAAAACAGGUUAAGUUGGAGCUGAGCAUCCUAACUUAACAUAGUACCACAUCUUUCUCAUUUUGAACAGAAUUACAUGUUAAAUAAGAAAUGAUAAUUCAUGUACAUCAGGUAGAGUCCAGCAGAAAAUCAUUUCUCUAGUUAGAUUAGAUCCCAUUUGCAGAUUUGGCAAUGCUGCAGUUAGUUUCAGUCGCUUCACUGAACACAAACCAUAUCCUGUAGAUUUAUUUUGACUUUAAUUCCCUCUGCUCUAAGCCUCUAACUACCAGGGAAUCCACAUUCAUUCUCAUGGGAUGUGCAUUAGUAUGAAGAACACACACAUAUAUGCUAAGUUUAGGUAGUCUGUACAACUGCAAAAUAUUUGUAGCCUUGUGAUAAGACAUCAUAUUUCACAUGCAUGAUUUAGCAAGUAAAUCUGACUUCUCACUUGAAUGCACCUGAAAAUAAACCUUGACUUCAGACUGUUGCAACAAAGCUACAUUUUAAGUGCAGUACAUAUCAAGCAUAGAAUGAAAGAGAUCACUUAAGAGGCAAAAAAUGUCCAACAUUGUAGUAAUUUUGUAGUUCAAAAAAUCACAGUAGGAUUCCUAGAACGGGAAGACCUCAGAUCUUGGAUCUCGCUGCUCUUGGACAGGGAAGACCUUGAAUCUUAGGUUUCUUUUCUCCUAGUCCAGGAAGACGUCAAAGCUUGGGACUGGCUGCUCGGAGACCUGCUGCUAUUGGUCGGCGGCCGCAGCCACGGCGACCAACAACCCUUCUUGCUCUUGGUUGCACCGACCAACAAGCGACCUGCUGGUUCUUGCUUCUUUGGAGCAUUUACACAGACAAAGACAGUACAAGAAAGGGGAGGGCUCCUGUUAAUAACAAUAUUAACAUGAGAAAUGUCAUGGGAUUUUUACCACAAACUCGAAUUCCAGUCCGAGAAGAUAGCAGAGCACGCCCAUGCGUUGCUACGGGGUGGAGGGGCAAUGGUUGGAGAGAGAGGGGUGCACGGAGGACUUCCGCUGAGUGCAUUUUUUCUCGACUUUGAAGCACAUUCAUCCAGUUAAUAAUUCAAAGAAUUUUAGAAGUAAGAGCACACAUGAUGUUUUUCGUCUCGACUUCAAUACGACGUUGUCGGAUUAGACGGUCAAUAUCCCAUAAGAAAAGACCAACUUCAUCAAAGAAUCAAGUAUAGUGGCAACUUACAAAAUAGGUUUUGCCGUUUUGGUAUAUAACCAAACCUAAAUCUCAUCACAAUGACAAAGCAGUUGUCACCCUGUAUCCAACCCUAUGGAUUCAAAUCAAGUCUGAAAAUUGAUGUUAAGUAGAAAAGGACUGUCCCAUCACAAGCUAGAACACUUCCUCUUGUUAGAAUCCAAGAAAACCUUAAAGCAUUAUCUCCUCCAAAUGACUUCUUCCCAUUUAAAAAAGAAAAAAGGCAUUGAACUGUUAUUUGACCUUAUACAUGCGUCUAGACCCUCCAAGGCCAGCAUACCGCUAUUCACAGCACAAGCAUGCCCACGGGCAGCAACGGAGAAAAAGGACAAAAGUUGGUUUAGAUAGAUCGAUCAUACAGUUGGCAAAUAUAUAUGUUGACACGUUUCAUGGUAUCAUGUAGUUUCGUUUUGUCCAUCUACGUGGACAACAUGUCUGCAGAUGCUAUUUCCGGACAUUGACAUGGCAAGGUAACUCAAACACUCAAUACAGCGAUAUCAAUAUGCCAAUUGAUGAAACAGUCAACAACAACGGGUUUAUUUCCUAAUACCCUUUGAAUCUACAUGGACUGACCAUUCUAAUUGUGCAGUUUUAGGCAGUCAUGUCAACAAAGAAGAAACCGGGAUUCAAUAUCAAUGCUCCCAAGGGAGAAGAUGUGCAACACCUAGUUGUGUGUGCCUGAUAUUUAAUCUAGAAGAAAUAAUCAUGAAGAUAAAUACAACAAGAUCAGACCAUCUGUUCUAUGCUUAACUAAAAGGAACGUAGUAACAACCACUGAUAAACAUGUACAAACAUUAUCAAAGAGAACCUAUUCCACUGAGCUAAUUAUUCAGGAAGCAGUAGUGAAGAUUAUAAAUGACAACAGGUGGCCACUGAGAGCACACGAUAAUACUACCUGAGGUCAUGACUAUCUCACGCUUGGUAAAAUCCACAUCGGAAACAAUCCAGGUGCUACUAAUUUGUCCUUAAUUUGAGGCGAAUAUUCUCCUAAAACCGAUCUUGAAGGAAGCUUGAGAUAACCGACGUAUCCAUCGCACAGAUUUCGAAUCAACCCAAACCUAAUCGACCAAAUCAACAUCACGACGCUAACAAGUCAUGUUGAAUUGACCGUGUUCGCCCAAGUACAACAUCAGUGCUGCGGCGAGAAGGGGAAGCGGGAUGAGCUUGCACGUACCUUGGUCGAUCUCGAACUCGUCGUCGUCCUCGAGGAGGUCCAUCUUGGCGGCCUCCGCCUUCGCGUCCGCCGGUGCUGCUGCCGCCAUCGAUGCUGGUGCUAGUAACCUGCGACGCAGUCGAGUAGAUCAAGAGGGUCAGCAGAGAGGUCCCGAUUAGUUCGUGCGUGCUGGGGAUUGUGGGGGCGGAUGAAGGAUCAAGAACCCCACCAACCUGAUUCGCGUGGAGAAGAAGAAAGGGGAACCCUAGACCUGGGGGUGGCUGCGCAUCGCGAGCCCUCCGCCGCCAGAAGCUGCCUCUGGCCACGGAUCCAGUCCUUGCAUCGCCUGUAGCCGCCGCGCCCUCUUUUUUUUUAGGGAUGCCGCAGGGUUCUUUU
rnacentral:lncRNA from 1 species